GAUGAACGCUGGCGGCGUGCCUAAUACAUGCAAGUCGAGCGAAUGGAUUAAGAGCUUGCUCUUAUGAAGUUAGCGGCGGACGGGUGAGUAACACGUGGGUAACCUGCCCAUAAGACAGGGAUAACUCCGGGAAACCGGGGCUAAUACCGGAUAACAUUAUGAACCGCAUGGUUCGAAAUUGAAAGGCGGCUUCGGCUGUCACUUAUGGAUGGACCCGCGUCGCAUUAGCUAGUUGGUGAGGUAACGGCUCACCAAGGCAACGAUGCGUAGCCGACCUGGGAGGGUGAUCGGCCACACUGGGACUGAGACACGGCCCAGACUCCUACGGGAGGCAGCAGUAGGGAAUCUUCCGCAAUGGACGAAAGUCUGACGGAGCAACGCCGCGUGAGUGAUGAAGGCUUUCGGGUCGUAAAACUCUGUUGUUAGGGAAGAACAAGUGCUAGUUGAAUAAGCUGGCACCUUGACGGUACCUAACCAGAAAGCCACGGCUAACUACGUGCCAGCCGCCGCGGUAA
rnacentral:rRNA from 1 species